UACGUAGGGUGCAAGCGUUGUCCGGAAUUAUUGGGCGUAAAGAGCUCGUAGGCGGUCUGUCGCGUCGGCUGUGAAAACUCGGGGCUCAACCCCGAGCCUGCAGUCGAUACGGGCAGACUAGAGUGCGGUAGGGGAGACUGGAAUUCCUGGUGUAGCGGUGAAAUGCGCAGAUAUCAGGAGGAACACCGGUGGCGAAGGCGGUUCUCUGGGCAUGAUCUGACGCUGAGGAGCGAAAGUGUGGGGAGCGAACAGG
rnacentral:rRNA from 1 species